AAGACGAGAGCUUUUUAACCUUUAAAAUGAUUUGUUGAGGAUAAUGCAGCGGAAACAUAUAUCCAGCACGUUACUACAUAUAUAUCCAUCUGGACGAGAGACAUAAUGUUGCAUAAUAUGCUAUUUUAACAGUAGUAGCCGCUCAUAAAAUCUCCGUUUCUGCAAACUACAGGGGAUGCAAAUAAUAUAUAAACUAAGUUAAUGCAGGCAAUAUAUUAUUCUGCAGAAACGGGAUGUUAAGAGGAUAGUUAUGCACGCCAUGAACUGGUUAUUCCGGAGUAUACUUUUUGGAAGACGCGAUAAAGACGACCGAUAAUUCUUAUUACGUUCGAUAUAUUUACUGGAAAACGUAAUUUAUUAUGAAUGGCGAGACAGAAAAUUACCAUACAUUAUUAAUUAAUCGCUAGAUAAGCAAAUAAAGCAUGCUGUGUUUCAAAAUGGUGCAUAAAUGCCAUUGCGACAUACAAAAAUUAUCCGAUAAAGUUGCAUAUUCAGUUAUUUAAUUUAUAAUAAUCUAAUUCUUUUGCUAUUAAGAGUGUCUCAUCUUGUCAA